rnacentral:rRNA from 1 species
UACGGAGGGUGCGAGCGUUGUCCGGAAUCACUGGGCGUAAAGGGCGCGUAGGCGGACAGUUUAGUCAGAGGUGAAAGCCCAGGGCUCAACCCUGGAAUUGCCUUUGAUACUGACUGUCUUGAGUACGGGAGAGGUGUGUGGAACUCCGAGUGUAGAGGUGAAAUUCGUAGAUAUUCGGAAGAACACCAGUGGCGAAGGCGACACACUGGCCCGUUACUGACGCUGAGGCGCGAAAGCGUGGGGAGCAAACAGG